UUUCAGACCAGAACCUUUUGAGAACCUUUUGUGCUGGAAAUGAGCAACACGGUUCAAUAAUGUUGGUGUGUGGACCUGACAGCUCUUUCAUAUAGUGUGUGUGUGCGUGUGUGUGUGUGUGUGUUCUCAGAUGACUUUCUGGAUCAUUCUUCCUCCUCUGAUAUGACUGACCUUAUGGAGCAGAUUAAUAACAGCUUUCCAACCUGUGCUCCACCGAGCCUGUCCUCAAGAUCACAGGCGAUGUGAGGGCUGCUAAUGACGUCGAAGUAAGAAGCGUCGAUGACGCGGUGCGUGAUGUGGCGAAGUCCCCGCUCUCCCAGACGAAGAUGGCCAACCCGGAGUUCCUUGCAUCGUCCUCGAUCCAGCCACAAUUCCACCACGAAUUCCCGACCACCACGUCCAUCAACCCGUCUGUCUGUACUAUGCAAUUGUAAAUUCUGUGAACAUGUAGAUCGAACCUGAUUUGGGUUUUUGCUUGGGAUUUGUACGAACAACACGAUGAUAUUUCGGCUAACGGGGGCUUCGUAACGUAUAACCUGUUCAGCUUUUAUUUCUAUUUUUGUGCACGCGCUCCGGGAACCUCCGUUUACCUCCUUCACGUUUCUCAGAUAUUUAUAAAAAAAAACAAAAAACAAAUGUUGUAGCUGGGAAUGAAGACCACUCGUGUUUUGCCCCUUAAUGAAUCACCUCAUACUGAUAAAUGCAUGUUUCUUCCCAGAAUGCAUCCCUCUGCUGUGUUUCUCGUGUUUACAGCGUAAUCCGUGCCGUCACCCGCGAACUGGUUGGCUGUUCUUGGAAAAAAAAAAUCAUUCCGAUAACGGUACGUGCUGAGUGCUCCGUUGCUCUUCCGACGCCACAGCAAUUUGCCAACGUUAACCUUUUUAAAAAAUAAUAAUAAUAAUAAUAAUUUUAUUAAAGAGUGACACCUCGUACUUUUUAUCCGCUUAUAAUUACAUUUACUGUUGUGGAAAACAAGUUCCUGUUCGAAACCAUACCCCGCCCCCCUUGUGUAAAUACUGUACAUGUUCAGGAAUGCCGAGAUGUUUUAGCCCUGUGUGCCUAUACAGCAUCCAUUCCAAGGAGAGGAUUUACGAGACGGAAAUAUAGAGAGCUCUAAAUUCAGAUUCGACAAAAUUUUAUUAUUAUUUUUUUCCUCUUUGAGUCGAAUAGUUUUCUAAAGUCAAAUCAAAUCAGAAGAAAGCCAUGAUUGCCUUGCUACCUCAGACUUAACAGCGUUCAUUUGCGAGAUUUGUGUUGUUUUUUUGUUUUUUUUGUCAUUAUUUUUCUUUCGCAAAACCACAAACAGAAACCUAAAGCCACAAAUGCUAUAUUUUAAAUAACGUUCCUUGAGAUCACUUAUUUAAUAAGAUCAGGGAUGAAGAUCAAGAUUGACAGAUAAGGCUGAAAAUGAAAAGUCAACGAUUUAAAAAAGAAAAGAAAAGAAAAGGUAAACAUAAAAUUCUGUGGUUGGUCUGUGAAUUUUUUUCAUAGCUUUUUAAUUUUUUCUACAUGGUGUAGUUUGUGCUUUUCCCAGUGAAGCAUUAACACUACUAUGACCUGUCCGAUGUGUCCCCGACU
ensembl:lncRNA